rnacentral:rRNA from 1 species
GAGUCUUAAUUGGGCGUUAAGUUGCAGGGUAUAGACCCGAAACCCGGUGAUCUAGCCAUGGGCAGGUUGAAGGUUGGGUAACACUAACUGGAGGACCGAACCGACUAAUGUUGAAAAAUUAGCGGAUGACCUGUGGCUGGGGGUGAAAGGCCAAUCAAACCGGGAGAUAGCUGGUUCUCCCCGAAAGCUAUUUAGGUAGCGCCUCGUGAAUUCAUCUCCGGGGGUAGAGCACUGUUUCGGCUAGGGGGCCAUCCCGGCUUACCAACCCGAUGCAAACUGCGAAUACCGGAGAAUGUUAUCACGGGAGACACACGGCGGGUGCUAACGUCCGUCGUGAAGAGGGAAACAACCCAGACCGCCAGCUAAGGUCCCAAAGUCAUGGUUAAGUGGGAAACGAUGUGGGAAGGCCCAGACAGCCAGGAUGUUGGCUUAGAAGCAGCCAUCAUUUAAAGAAAGCGUAAUAGCUCACUGGUCGAGUCGGCCUGCGCGGAAGAUGUAACGGGGCUAAACCAUGCACCGAAGCUGCGGCAGCGACGUUUAUGCGUUGUUGGGUAGGGGAGCGUUCUGUAAGCCUGCGAAGGUGGCCUGUGAGGGUUGCUGGAGGUAUCAGAAGUGCGAAUGCUGACAUAAGUAACGAUAAAGCGGGUGAAAAGCCCGCUCGCCGGAAGACCAAGGGUUCCUGUCCAACGUUAAUCGGGGCAGGGUGAGUCGACCCCUAAGGCGAGGCCGA